CCUACGGGAGGCAGCAGUGAGGAAUAUUGGUCAAUGGGCGCGAGCCUGAACCAGCCAAGUAGCGUGAAGGAUGACUGCCCUACGGGUUGUAAACUUCUUUUAUCAAGGAAUAAAGUGAGGCACGUGUGCCUUUUUGUAUGUACUUUAUGAAUAAGGAUCGGCUAACUCCGUGCCAGCAGCCGCGGUAAUACGGAGGAUCCGAGCGUUAUCCGGAUUUAUUGGGGUUAAAGGGAGCGUAGAUGGGUUGUUAAGUCAGGUGUGAAAGUUUGCGGCUCAACCGUAAAAUUGCAGUUGAUACUGGCAGCCUUGAGUACAGUUGAGGUAUGCGGAAUUCGUGGUGUAGCGGUGAAAUGCUUAGAUAUCACGAAGAACUCCGAUUGCGAAGGCAGCUUACUAAACGGCCACUGACAUUGAUGCUCGAAAGUGUGGGUAUCAAACAGGAUUAGAUACCCCAGUAGUC
rnacentral:rRNA from 1 species